UGGACCUUCACAACCACUACCCCUCGCCUUGGGAUUUUCCUAGAGAAAGCACCCAGAGCGUAUCUCAAGAAGCAACGUAGAGAGGACCCAGGCUUGGGACCAGACAGACCUGAGUUUCUUCUCCUCCUCUAUCAUGUAUCAGUCACGACAGCUAGGCAAGGCUCAGCCUCGGUUUCCCAGUCUGUCAAAGGUGUGGCCUCCAGACAAGAGAGGGUUCCCUUCCUUUUGGGUCUUCUUCUCUGGAAACUCCAAGAUACAGGGCCCACCGCCCCCCCCCCUCCCCAGGCUGGGAAGCAGGUGUCACUGACUCGGCUGCCCUACACGCCCAUCCCCACCCCCAUCUCUUCAGCCCCUUUGGCUAAGGCCAAGGUACUCCUGCUUCCUUCCCUCAACCCUGACCCCUGACCCAAGCCAGCAGCAUUCUCACAUCUCUGCCUGCCAAUCCCACCUGCGCUGCUAGAGCCUCACCCCCUCAGCCACCUCCCUCCAGUUUGAUGACCUCACACCGUGUGUCACCAAGUGACUCAAAGGACCCUCACACCCAUUACCUCCUUUGAGACCUACAACAAGCCCUGCUUGGAGAAGGAGUGCACGGCAUUUUCUGCAACUGCAAAGCAAAGAACCUGAAUUCCAAGUGACUGCACAGACACACAGCAAGUUCUGGAAGCACACCUCCUGGUUCUUACACCAAUAGGUGACUCACACCAUGUUCCACCAUCAGGAAGCUCCUAGAUGCGACUCAGAUCACAAAUGAGUCCCACGUUCCUGCUGAGGCCGGCAGUUCUGGCAACUUUGGUCAGAUGGAUGGAUAGAGACAGCACGGCACCACGUGGGAGGUGUUCUGUCAACAGUGUCCGAUGGACGGAGCUGCUGGGCUUGCAGCACUCGAGUUCCGGCCUGCCUCUCCAGCAGAUGUAUUUCUCCCCCGCGCAAAGGCAGAGGAAGGAAGCUGAGGACGCGUGGAGAGAGGCUGAGCAGCCUCCUCUGGUCCAGAUGCCUGAUGAUGGAGGCUGUCAGCCUGGCCCCACCACCCGCCCCAUCACUGUGCUGAGUGGGCCCCAGGGAUAACUCAGUGGGGGAGGCUAGGAUGGGGAGGGGCAGGGUCCUAAAGCCAUAACUGUAACAUGGGGAAGGGUCAAGGCAGCUAGGCGGGGGGCAGAAAUCAGAGAGAACCGCCAGCAGUCAGCGGGAAGAAUGUGGAUUUAAUGGAAUGAAGGAUGAGAGGGCCUGAAGCCAGCAACAGUCUCGCCCCACCCACCAGCCCCCACCCAGCUUCCCAAGGGUCUCAGAGGGACACUCUUGGCACUGGCCUUUCACAUCUGUUCAGCAACCCCUGAGCUGAAAAGUUGGAGUGGGAGGCCUCCAGCUCAGCAGGUGGACUCCAAAAUACCCCUCUUGUCUUAUCCACUCCAGGUCGGGGGCAGGGAAGCACAUGGGGCUGCUUCUGCCCCGUCCCCUCUGCAGCCAUCCCCACAGCCAGGCUCACAGGCACCAUCCAAGGCCUGCCCCCUAGCAGUGAGACUCCAGCUCUGUGAGUCUGAGCAGUGAGGUCCUGGGGGUGGCGGGAGCCGAGGGUCCUGCUGGGUUCCUCUGGGGCAGGUCCUCGGCUGGGCAGAUGAGCUGACGGAUUCUCUGCGGGGCGAGCGGAGGUGGCUGUCAGGUGCGGAGUGGGGGCAGGUCUGCCAGCUUCCCUCAUCACCAACAUCUACCUGCCUCCCCACACACAAACAUGCCCUGCUGUCAUCACAGCUGCUGUCUGGGAGUCCCCCUGUGUCUUCCUGAGACUUCUCAGCAGGCACUCUAUCGCUCCCUGACACCCAGGCUGGGCCCACUGGCCCCUCCAUACAACUGUGUGCACCCUGGCUGGCAGCCCACCUGUCAGCGCCUGCGAAGCCUCCCAGCCCCUCUGGCUGCUUUCCUGCCCACAAAGGCCCUACCUCUCUGAAGGGGCCCUUGAGGGUGCCGAGUCUGUAGAGGCUCCAGGCAGGAAUGCAGACCAUGGAGGACAGAGCCAGGAGCCAGCCCAGAGCAUCGCCCCACCAUGGGUACGUGUACUUCUUGUUGUAGGUCAGUGGAGUGUACUUGAUCAGGGAGAAGAGGAAGGUGGCCUGGGGGGGACGGCAGAAGAGAAAGGGGUUGGGGGGCGGGGGCCUUGUGCCCUCAGCUCCCCCGCCCCCCCAGCAGCCUGGCAGAAAUCACCCUCCAAGCCUGGAUUCCCUCUAGGCUCUUCUGGACCAAUCAGCCUCCAAUCUUCUCCAUCCACACUCUGCCCAAAACCCACACCCUCCAGCAGUAUACUCUGUCACUCCAGGGCCCCUGUACCCCUGGGCACCUCUAUGUGCAGCUGACUCCCAGUUAGGUUGUCAUCAUGUUACCACUGCAUGCUGUGAGGUAUUUACUACCUCUCCUGCACCAUGAGUUUGGGGUACGAGUACACCUCAAGGGUACAGGCCAUGCCUCAGUUAUAUCUUGCACACAGUGGGGGCUCAGGAACAGCUGACGCAAAGAGACAAGGCCAAAGGAAGCUGCACGUUGGGGUUUCAGGCCCACAUUCUGGAGCCAGGUUGCGUGGGUUUGAAUCCCAGUUCUCUGCAACUUUCUCGCUUGGGCCAGUGGCUUAACAACCUCUUCAACCUCAGUUUCACCUGUAACACCAGUGUAACAACAGCACUUCCUUUAUGGGACUCUUGUGAGGAUUAAAUGAGUUAAUACGUGUUAAAGCACCUUGUGCCCAACACAAAGUCAGUGCUCUAUACCGGCUGCUA